GCCCGUGUAGCUCAGUUGGUAGAGCAGCUGUCUUGUAAACAGCAGGUCGCAGGUUCGACUCCUGUCGCGGGCUC
rnacentral:tRNA from 1 species